AUUGAACGCUGGCGGCAUGCCUUACACAUGCAAGUCGAACGGUAACGCGGGGCAACCUGGCGACGAGUGGCGAACGGGUGAGUAAUGCAUCGGAACGUGCCUGGUAGUGGGGGAUAACUGCUCGAAAGAGCAGCUAAUACCGCAUACGACCUGAGGGUGAAAGGGGGGGAUCGCAAGACCUCUCGCUAUCAGAGCGGCCGAUGUCGGAUUAGCUAGUUGGUGGGGUAAAGGCCCACCAAGGCAACGAUCCGUAGCUGGUCUGAGAGGACGACCAGCCACACUGGGACUGAGACACGGCCCAGACUCCUACGGGAGGCAGCAGUGGGGAAUUUUGGACAAUGGACGCAAGUCUGAUCCAGCCAUGCCGCGUGCGGGAAGAAGGCCUUCGGGUUGCAAAGGACUUUUGUCAGGGAGGAAAUCCCUAGCGUUAAUACCGCUGGGGGAUGACAGUACCUGAAGAAUAAGCACCGGCUAACUACGUGCCAGCAGCCGCCGUAACAC
rnacentral:rRNA from 1 species